rnacentral:rRNA from 1 species
UGAGGAAUAUUGGUCAAUGGACGGAAGUCUGAACCAGCCAAGUAGCGUGCAGGAAGACGGCCCUAUGGGUUGUAAACUGCUUUUAUACGAGAAUAAUUUGAUGCACGUGUGCGUUAUUGCAUGUAUCGUAUGAAUAAGGACCGGCUAAUUCCGUGCCAGCAGCCGCGGUAAUACGGAAGGUCCAGGCGUUAUCCGGAUUUAUUGGGUUUAAAGGGAGUGUAGGCGGUUUGUUAAGCGUGUUGUGAAAUUUAGAUGCUCAACAUUUAACUUGCAGCGCGAACUGUCAGACUUGAGUACACGCAACGUAUGCGGAAUUCAUGGUGUAGCGGUGAAAUGCUUAGAUAUCAUGAAGAACUCCGAUUGCGAAGGCAGCAUACGGGAGUGUAACUAACGCUUAAGCUCGAAGGUGCGGGUAUCGAACAGGAUUAGAUACCCUGGUAGUCCGCACAGUAAACGAUGGAUGCCCGCUGUUAGCGCCUGGCGUUAGCGGCUAAGCGAAAGCAUUAAGCAUCCCACCUGGGGAGUACGCCGGCAACGGUG